AAGAUCAUACUUCACAGGAUCAUUUCUGUAGUAUAUCUUCACAUCCUCUCUACUCAAUUGUGGAGUCGAUACAGCCAUGAUGACGAGGUAUAAUCCUCUUCUCUGAGCGUGAGGACGACUGAAGGCUUGACUUAUGUCGAGAAUUCAGUCAUCGAUGAUCGUUCACUUCUUGAACUUAGUUCGAGAAGCAUGAGAAGUGGAUAUUCCGAGUGGU
rnacentral:snoRNA from 1 species